AGCAGGAGGACGUCACGGCCAAUGUGAUGCAACAGCUCCCCAUCAUCCAGCCCUUGCACCAGGUGCCCGAGGCACCGCAGGGCUUGUGCCUCUGAGGCCACCAGCAACUCCCUGCUGCAGGCCCUGGGAUCUGGCACAGCCUCCCAGAUGGGCGCAGCCUGCAGCUGAGCCACCUCAGGGAGCAGUGGAGACAGGUCACCUCAUCCCAUCAAAGCAAGCAAUGCUGGGUGUCAGAGAGGCUUAGAUGGAAGACUCCUCUCUCAUGGAGUGAGCUGGGGUGGCUCCCCUCCUGCCUAGGGGAGGGAGAGCCCAGCCAGAGGCCAGAGUGGGCGGAGCCCCGGAGCGCUGGGCCCGCCCCUCAAAGGGUCAGGCGGCGACCCGGAACUAUAAAAGCCGGCCCUCAGAGCUCAGUCAGGCCCCAGCUGGCGGAGAGAGCGGACGUACCUCAGCGAGCUCAAGACUUGGAAGCCCUGGCGACCCAGGGAAGCCGCCCAGACUAGCCUGAGCUUCCCCGUGCCCGCUACCUGGAGGUGCUGCCGGAGCUACCCUGUCCCGACUACCCCGAGGAACUGCCAGACCUGCCACCCAGCCCCGGCCGUGACGAGCCCAUGCUCCUGGACCCUCCAGAGGCCAACGUUAGGACCCAGCACCAUGAUACCUGCCCUGGAGCCGGAGCUGGAGACCCACCUCCUCCAAGCUGCCCUGCACACCGUCUUCACCAUGGGCACGGAGAAGGACACCACCCAAGUCCAGGAUCUGCAUAGGGUCUUGCCAGACCUCCUGGACGCCAUGCUGGGGAACCUGCUGGCAGAGUCCCCAGACACUGUCAGGCUCCACUACAUCUUGGAGCACAUUAACUACUGGAUCGUGUCCAGGGUGUCGCAAGACAGAGCCAGGGCCGUUAGGAGCAGUACGGCCCUUUUCAGAUCCACCAUCACCCUCCCUGAGUUUGAC